AAAAUCUUUAGGUUUAUUUUUUAACAAAAUAUUGGAAGAAAAUGAUAAGGUAAAGUAUAGUAAUUAGAAAUUGAUGAUUUAGCUAUAGAGAAAGUACUGUAAGGGAAAAUUGAAAUAACUUGAAAAGUUAAGUAAGGAAUAGGAAAAGUAAAGAUUUUUACCUUUUGCAUAAUGGUCUAGUGAGAUUAAAUAAAAAAGUUUUGAUUAUCCGAAAUUGAAUGAGCUAAUGUAUUCUGUUUUAUGAAUAAAAGUUUUACUGUUGCAAAAGUAAAGUUUAGAGGAUAAAUUAGAGAUGAAAUGUCAAUCGUAUUCAAUGAUAGCUGAUUCUUUAAGAAAUAAAUUGAAGUUGAAGGUACAGUUUUAUAAGGUUAAGUUAUUAUUAUUUAAUAAAUAAAAUAAUUAAAAUAAUAUUGUAUUUUUAGAUAGAUAAGGUUAAGCUUGUUUAUCAAUAAGGAAAAAUCCUUAGUAGUAGGUUAAAGAUAGAAAUAAAAUUAAAUGUUGAAAUGAAUAAUUAGUAAGAUGAGAAGUAUCAAUCUAGAGAUAAAGUGUUAAAACUAAGUAAAAUAAGGUAAAUAAAUAAUUUUAAUAAAAAAUCUGAGGCUGCUAAAUAUUUAUUAAAGAAUUUUAUGAAUUUAGAAUUUAUUAUGCUAGAAUUAGUAGAGUAAGUAUUUUUUGUGAAUUAAUCAAUUCUAACUUUGGAUGAAUAAAUUUUGAGAAAGCGAGAAUAAUGAUUAUUGAAUUGUCUUCCAACGCAGGAAAUAUGGUUUUAUAAAAAUGAAAGAAAGGAAUUCGGCAAAUAGAGAUUUCGCCUGUUUACCAAAAACAUUGCUCUUUGAUGAAUGUUAAUGAAAAAUAAGGAGUACUGCCUGCCCAGUGACGUUGUUUAACGGCUGCGGUAUUUUGACCGUGCAAAGGUAGCAUAAUCAUUUGCCUUUUAAAAGAAGGCUGGAAUGAAUGGCAAGACGGAAUUUAGCUGUCUCUUUUUAAAAACUUGAAUUUAAUAUCCUUGUGAAGAAGCAGGGAUUAGGUCGUAGGACGAGAAGACCCUAUUGAGCUUAAGUUAAUUUAUAGAAUUUUGUUGUAGUUUUAUUUACUAAUACGUUUAUUUUGUAAAAGUGAAAGUUAAAAAUAGAGCAAUAAAGGUUUAUAAUAAAAUUUUGAUUGGGGUAAUUGUGGAGAAUAAGAAACCUUCAUUAAGAAAUACUAAAAUUAAAGAUUUAGGAAAGGUAGUGAAAUGACCCACAGUAAGAAGUGAGUAAAGGAACAAGUUACCAUAGGGAUAACAGCGUAAUCUUUUUGGAGAGUUCAUAUUGAUAAAAGGGUUUGCGACCUCGAUGUUGGAUCGAGAUUUCCUAAAAAUGCAGAAGUUAAAAAGGGUUGGUCUGUUCGACCAUUAAAAUCUUACGUGAUCUGAGUUCAGACCGACGCAAGUCAGGUCAGUUUCUAUCCACGAUGAAAUAAAUUUUUUUUAGUACGAAAGGAAUAAAAAGGUAAUAUCAAUGUUGAAGAUAAAUAUUAAAAUUUUUCUGAAGGAAAAUUAAGGUGUUAGUUAAUUUGGCUUUU
rnacentral:rRNA from 1 species